rnacentral:misc_RNA from 1 species
AAGUCGUAACAAGGUUUCCGUAGGUGAACCUGCGGAAGGAUCAUUAUUACGUAUCCACGUAUCAAACCAAACCGUGAACUGUUUCCCGUCUGAUGAGGAUUUCUGCGAGUGUUUGAACAUUUAUUAAAUGCAUGGUGAGGACUCCUAGUCGCAAGACUGGUUUCUUCGAAAUGGCACUCGGUCCUGGUUGCCCUCUCGGGGCUUCAGCCAGCUCAUUAGAUGUGGUUGAAUUUCAAUCACUAUGCUAAAACUAUUAACCCCUUGUACAACACUUGAACUAAAUUACGGAGACAAGACCCUUAACCAGGAAACUAUCUCUGAUAAACCGAAACUUAAGAAACAACUCUUAACAACGGAUAUCUUGGUUCUC